CAUUCCAGAUAAUUCCAUUCUGUUAAAUUUCAUCUCCUACCUUCUACUUUUAAGGAAAAAUGGAGAAGUUAAGGUUUAUGGUUAGCUCUCAAAUUUAAAUACCCACUUUUAGGAAGAACUAAAUUCUUCAUCUAGCAUUAAUUGGGAGUUUAAAUUUGAGAUCUUACGCGCUAUUGGAUUAAGAAAUAGAGGAUUUGGAGGAUUAAACAGCGGGCUAUUGUAUUUGCUUUUAAAAUUGGAAUAAACGAUCGAGUGUUUUCUUUCAGGCUUAGCAUAUGAUGAUGUGGUUGAGCUUCCAUUCAUUGUUCAGGAAGUCUCAGUUAUGGAAAGUUCUAUCCUUCUUAGAGCUGCAGUAGUCAUGAUAAUAGACCUAGCCGAUGGCAAAUGAUUUAUGUUGUUUUACGCCUUGUACUAGCAAUGUAUUUUCAAAAAGUUAAUUAUCCAGAAAUUUAAUAUAUGGUUA